rnacentral:rRNA from 1 species
CCUACGGGUGGCAGCAGUGGGGAAUAUUGGACAAUGGGCGAAAGCCUGAUCCAGCCAUGCCGCGUGUGUGAAGAAGGCCUUCGGGUUGUAAAGCACUUUCAGUGGGGAAGAAAGCCUUGGGGCUAAUACCCUCGAGGAAGGACAUCACCCACAGAAGAAGCACCGGCUAAACUCCGUGCCAGCAGCCGCGGUAAUACGGAGGGUGCGAGCGUUAAUCGGAAUUACUGGGCGUAAAGCGCGCGUAGGCGGUCUGAUAAGCCGGUUGUGAAAGCCCCGGGCUCAACCUGGGAACGGCAUCCGGAACUGUCAGGCUAGAGUGCAGGAGAGGAAGGUAGAAUUCCCGGUGUAGCGGUGAAAUGCGUAGAGAUCGGGAGGAAUACCAGUGGCGAAGGCGGCCUUCUGGACUGACACUGACGCUGAGGUGCGAAAGCGUGGGUAGCAAACAGGAUUAGAUACCCUGGUAGUC